GACGAACCGUGCGAACGUUGUUCGGAAUCACUGGGCUUAAAGGGCGCGUAGGCGGGUGUGCAAGUCUGCGGUGAAAGCCUCCAGCUUAACUGGAGAAGUGCCGUGGAUACUGCAUAUCUUGAGGAGGGUAGGGGCAUCUGGAACAUUGGGUGGAGCGGUGAAAUGCGUUGAUAUCCAAUGGAACUCCGGUGGCGAAGGCGGAUCUCUGGACAGUUCCUGACGCUGAGGCGCGAAGGCCAGGGGAGCAAACGGG
rnacentral:rRNA from 1 species